rnacentral:rRNA from 1 species
GACCUACGGGGGGCAGCAGUGAGGAAUAUUGGUCAAUGGCCGAGAGGCUGAACCAGCCAAGUCGCGUGAGGGAAGAAUGUCCUAAGGAUUGUAAACCUCUUUUGUCGGGGAGCAAAAAGGCUCUGCGGAGUCGUAUUGAGAGUACCCGAAGAAAAAGCAUCGGCUAACUCCGUGCCAGCAGCCGCGGUAAUACGGAGGAUGCGAGCGUUAUCCGGAUUUAUUGGGUUUAAAGGGUGCGUAGGCGGGCUUUAAGUCAGCGGUAAAAAUUCGGGGCUCAACCCCGUCCGGCCGUUGAACCUGGUGGC